UAGGGAAUAUUAGUAAUGGGCGAAAGCCUGAACUAGCAACGCCGCGUGUGCGAAGAAGGCCUUCGGGUUGUAAAGCACUUUUUGAGAGGAUGAGGAAGGACGGUACUCUCAGAAUAAGUCUCGGCUAACUACGUGCCAGCAGCCGCGGUAACACGUAGGAGGCAAACGUUAUCCGGAUUUACUGGGCAUAAAGCGCGUGUAGGUGGUUUGGUAAGUAGGGCGUGAAAGCUCCUGGCUCAACUGGGAGAGGCCGUUCUAAACUACCGAACUAGAGGAUGGUAGAGGGAGGUGGAAUUCCGGGUGUAGCGGUGGAAUGCGCAGAUAUCCGGAGGAACACCAGUGGCGAAAGCGGCCUCCUGGACCAUUCCUGACACUCAGACGCGAAAGCUAGGGUAGCAAACGG
rnacentral:rRNA from 1 species